CUUGGUAUUGGUAGAGCAGGCGGCUGUAGUCCUUAUUCAGGACGUUGGCCCACUUCAGGUCGAACGCCAGAUCGCUGCUGGCCUGCCAGGUC
rnacentral:tRNA from 1 species